rnacentral:rRNA from 1 species
AUACGGAGGGGGCAAGCGUUAUUCGGAAUUAUUGGGCGUAAAGGGCGCGUAGGCGGCCUGAUAAGUCAGGGGUGAAAUCCCUCGGCUCAACCGAGGAACUGCCCUUGAAACUGUCAGGCUUGAGGCCGGGAGAGGGUGGUGGAAUUCCCAGUGUAGCGGUGAAAUGCGUAGAUAUUGGGAGGAACACCAGUGGCGAAGGCGGCCACCUGGACCGGUUCUGACGCUGAGGCGCGAAAGCGUGGGGAGCAAACGGGAUUAGAAACCCCGGUAGUCC